GCGGAAGUGGCGGAAUUGGUAGACGCACCAGAUUUAGGUUCUGACGCCGCAAGGUGUGAGAGUUCAAGUCUCUCCUUCCGCACCA
rnacentral:tRNA from 1 species